rfam:Capsicum annuum cultivar Zunla-1 chromosome 3, whole genome shotgun sequence
UGAUGAUGGUGAGGGCAAUUUCAGAGCAUAGCAUUGAAUCUUUCCCAGGGUUGGUAAAGAUUCCCUCCAUCUUUCUGACUAAAGCUCAGAAUCUCACCUCUUAAAUG